rnacentral:rRNA from 1 species
GACGAACGCUGGCGGCGUGCUUAACACAUGCAAGUCGAACGGAAAGGCCUUCUUUCCCUUGUGUUUUGCGGGUACUCGCGUGGCGAACGGGUGAGUAACACGUGAGUGAUCUGUUCCCAACUUGUGUAUAAGCCUGGGAUACUGUGUCUAAUUCCCGAUAGGACUGCAGGGUGGUGCGUGUGGUGGCACACGAUUUUCUUGUGGUUGCGGAUGAGCUCGCGGCUUAUCAGCUUGUUGGUGGGGGAAUGGCCUACCAAGGCGGCGACGGGUAGCCGGCCUGGGAGGGGGGACAGCGGAAGUGGGACUGGGAUACGGGCCAGACGGGUAGGGGAAGCAGGAGUGGGGAAUCAUGGGGAAUGGGCGGGAGCCUGAUGCAGCGAGGCGGAGAAGGAGAUGACGGGCUUCGGAUUGUAAACUCCUUGCGAACACGAGGAAGCGACCUGGAUGGAAGGGUGGUGACGGUAGUGGUAGAAGAAGCACCGGCUAACUACGUG